ensembl:lncRNA
CUAAUUCAAUUUCAAAUAAAUUAAUAUUAGUUGCUAAAACAACAUACCGUUGUCAGAGUCCAAAAAACACUGGAAAGCCAAUGACAUCGCCAUUUAAAAAAUAAAUGUUCUUCAUGAAAACACGAUAACUAAGAUCUCAAACAAACAACUUGUCCAAAAAAAGCAACAACAAAAAUGAAAAAUACAUCCAGGAAUUUUUGAUUAUAAAUAAAAAAAAUAAAAAGUCCACUUUAAAAUAACUCUUGCUGUAUUCAGUCUUUUGGUUUCAACCAAGUAGGUGAACAGGAGGCCAAGGGAAAUGCAAGGACAAUUCAGCAAACUGAAAACUGUUUUCAAAUUAAUCUAAAACUCUAUGAAUCAACACCACUGACACUACAGGUGAAACUAUAACAAAAAAGGGGGUUUACUACUGUACUACUCCUAGCUCCAAUAAAUAACAUGAUAAAUAACUGUUCAGAGAUUGCUUAGCCGUUCUCAAUCAUCAUUCUGAAUACAAACGUUUUAAGGUGAUGGACCAAAACAUUUCAGCCACCUGCUUUUAACAUUCUGUCAAUUGUAACCAAAAUAUACAAAAGCCAUUUAAAUGUCUGUGCAGUUCUAUUUCCAGUGCAAACCUAAAAAACCUUGUAGGAACUGAUGAAUAUAUUUCCAUUAGAAGACACUGUUCCAAAAUUCUGUUCAUGGCAAUUUAGCCUAAAAUGAUAUGGAAGCUCAACAGCUGUUUCUUCUCCUACACUAUCUUGAGCGCUUUUAAAACGGACACUAUUUUGAAUGCAUCCAAAGACGACAGCCAUUCCCACGUGUGAUUUGUUUUGCACAUUCCCAUGCCUUCAACUGCUAUACUGAUUGAAUUGGCUUUCGCCUUUUGCAAUUGUUCUAUCAUUUUCAAAUCCUUUCUGCAUCUAUCAUCCAUCUUUGACACCUGCUGCAAGUCAACAGGCAGUGCAUUCAAACAUACUAUCAGAAAACUGGCUAGGAGUAACUCAACAAUCUGAACGGUCAAUUGAAAAAGGUCUGGGUCUGUCCACAUGGUAAGCCUGUAAAACACAAGGUCCUUGGACACUUCAAUGUCAUCAAACAAGCAUACGUUUCCUUCAACUAGGUUUCUUCCAUCUUCUUGCCAUUCUUUGAUCUUUGUAACGAGGGUUUGGUAUCUCACUUUCAUGUCCAACACCUUUUCCUCCGAAGUCAAGGCCUUUAAAAGAGGAUCAAUUAUUUGCUUUGAAAUCAGACCCAGAGCUCUACAUCCUGCUUUAAAUGGUUGAACCUCCAUAUCAACAGCAACUGCUGCAAGGACACUACUGUCAUCUUCAUGGUCCCUGCAGAACUCGCUGAUGUCACUGUAGAUGCAAUAUACCCCGGCUGCACUAUGAAACACACCAUCAAUUCUGCUUUCAGAGUACGGACAUAAAGGCACUUCGUCCAAUUCUCCUUUGCUGAUCAGAAAGUUUCUGAACGCAGGCAGGUUUUUGUCCCUUUCCCAUCCUUGCUGGACAGCAUCAUGUACUGAUUUCACUUGACACACUGUUCUGGACUCCAAAUCUGUUGUUCCAGUGUUUUGAGAGGCAUGGAGUCUUACUUUGUCUCCUAAAAUCAUCCUCUCCCACAGAAGAAUGGUUGUUUCUGCCUGAUGAGCUAAACCUUCAAUCAAAUGUAAGCCACAUAAGAGUUGACUAACAAGGGACACCAUUCUCUUUUCAGUGUGGGAAAAGUCACCAUGUUUACUAACUGUAAGUGGUAGGACAUCUGAUCUGUAUUUAGCUAGGAUUUGUUUGAAAUUAUUCUGAUCAAAACAGCUUUUUAGGUUGGAAGUCAUCAGUUUACUUUGAUCUGUGUCCCUGCACAUUAAUAUUUCAAAGAUGUAUUUGCCACAAAUGUUUACCUGUUUGUUCUUCGAGUGGAAAGCUUUCUCCAUGACCUCAGACUGACCCUCAAACUCUUCCUUUAUCUCAGCAGAUCGGUCCUCAUGACAGAGUACUGCGGUGUCAUUAGCAAACUGUGUUGCAUCCGUCUUAGUUAAGACGCUCUUUGUCUUUUUAGUCUGAGCAAUUUUUUGGGAAGUGAAAGUUUCUAAUUUUUUCUUCAUUCUCCUGUAAUCCACAGGUUGUUUGGAUACAUUUGCAGUCCCACAACGUUUCCAUGGGGGCGCCAUGGAGAAUUUUGCAUCUAGCAAUUCACUUCUCAAUUCCACCCCUUUUGAUUGCCACUGACGGGUUGACAUUUUCCUUUCUACGUUUAUUAUGUUAUGGAUAAUAUCAUCCAUCAGAUCCAAAUCAUUUUGGAAAUCCAGAUCAAAAUUGUACUCAAGAACAGCACGAACAAUCUGUCUGUAAGUCCCACACAUUUCGGAAGCAAAACGUGUCAAUUCGAGCAUUACACCUCGGGUCAAGCAAUGCAAGUCUAGUUUAUCUUUUACUGCAGGUUCUGGUUUCACAUUAAGGUCUAAGCCUAUUUUCUGACAGAGGGGGUAGAGGUUAUUGGUGGCAUGUUUUGUUCUGGAUGUCAUAAAAGAUUGGUCCCUUUUGAGGUUGUGUCCUACCUCAGACCAUGAUAUAUUUGGGACAAUAGAAACUGUGUCCAUCUUCACAUGCUGAGAAGAUAUGAGGACCAUAUUAGGUUGGUACUUCAUACAGCUAUCAGUAGGUCCAUUCCUGAGGCCAGGAGUUGCACGCUUUGAUCCAUAUGUUUCAUUAGAGAUGGUCUCUUUUUCAUGGUCCAUUAGAGAGACUCUGUUGUCCUGUUCAGCCUUUUCAUACCCAACCAAUGCAUUUUCCUCAAAAGGCUUUACAGGAACACAUUGUUCCUCUUGCAUCAUAACCAAUUGCUGCGAUUCUACAUCUUUUUUAAAUUGUAGAGUAAAGGACACCAGGUCAUUUAAACUCUUGAGUUCUACACAUGUUUUUGACAUUGGAAAUGACCUUGGAUCAGGUAGAUCAAAUACUUUUGUUAUCAAUUCAGGUCUUUGCCGUCUGGACUUUCCCUUCAAGUACUUUACUUUCGCCAUGAUCCGAGUAGCAAAUUCAUACCGUUGAGCUUUAUGCAAACCAAGAUCAAAGUUGUAUUCUAGAAUAUCAGAAAUGACAAGGGCGUGAGAUCUAUUCAUUUCUUUGGCAAAAUGUGAAACCUCAAUCAUUACACCAUUGGUCAGUAGAUCUAUGUCAAGUUUUUUCUUUAUUCCAGAUCCAACAUUGAAAUUUACACCCACUUUCAUGCAGUUGGGGUAUAUGUCGUUAAACUUUCCUUCUGCAAAGAGCUGUCCAAAUUCUGUACUUUUUGAAUUAUUUACUGAGAAUUGCAAGAUUUCAUUGGCCAUCUUCUGAUCAUGCUUUUCUUUACGUCUUCUGUUAGAAACACAUUGAGCAGCAGAAUUUUUUAUUUUCCUUUUAAUCACAUCAAUUUUAAAUAGUUUUUGGGAUAAAUGUCCAGGCCCAUGUUCGUAUUUUUCGGCAAAACUUUUUACUUUACUUGCAAUAUUUUUAGAAAAUUGUGAAGUAUACCGAUGUUGGAAAGGGAAAUCAAAGUUGUAUUCUAAAAUAUCAUAUAGAGAUGGUGCAUAAAAGCGUUUACACUUUUUUACAAACGUAUGAACCUCAUACAUUACACCCUUGGUUAGAAAGCGUGGGUCCAGUUUCACGGUGCGGGCCAGCAAGGAUUUCACAUCAAGUUCAAGGCCUAUUUUAUAACAGAGGGGGUAGAGGUCUUUCGUGGUUUUCUCUGUUGUGGAGCACAUUAAGGAUUGGUUCCCAAUACCUCUUUGUACUGCUUCAGAAUCAAACAGUGUUACAUCAGGCUCCAUGUUAACAUCCUGAUGAAAUACCAAGUCCAGAUUUGGCUCUUGUUUAAAGCAAAGAUCAGUAGAUAUAUUUUCAUUGCUGAAUACAGCA